rnacentral:rRNA from 1 species
GGAUGAACGCUGGCGGCGUGCCUAAUACAUGCAAGUCGAGCGAACAGACGAGGAGCUUGCUCCUCUGACGUUAGCGGCGGACGGGUGAGUAACACGUGGAUAACCUUCCUAUAAGACUGGGAUAACUUCGGGAAACCGGAGCUAAUACCGGAUAAUAUAUUGAACCGCAUGGUUCAAUAGUGAAAGACGGUUUUGCUGUCACUUAUAGAUGGAUCCGCGCCGCAUUAGCUAGUUGGUAAGGUAACGGCUUACCAAGGCGACGAUGCGUAGCCGACCUGAGAGGGUGAUCGGCCACACUGGAACUGAGACACGGUCCAGACUCCUACGGGAGGCAGCAGUAGGGAAUCUUCCGCAAUGGGCGAAAGCCUGACGGAGCAACGCCGCGUGAGUGAUGAAGGUCUUCGGAUCGUAAAACUCUGUUAUUAGGGAAGAACAAAUGUGUAAGUAACUAUGCACGUCUUGACGGUACCUAAUCAGAAAGCCACGGCUAACUACGUG